AACGAACGCUGGCGGCGUGCCUAACACAUGCAAGUCGAACGGGAUUAAGGGGCUUGCUCCUUAAUCUAGUGGCGCACGGGUGAGUAACGCGUGGAUAAUCUACCCGAUGAUCUGGGAUAACAUUUCGAAAGAGGUGCUAAUACCGGAUAAGCCCACGGGGUCUUCGGAAUCUGCGGGAAAAGGGGGGGACCUUCGGGCCUUCUGUCAUCGGAUGAGUCCGCGUACCAUUAGCUAGUUGGCGGUGUAAGAGACCACCAAGGCGACGAGGGUUAGCUAGUCUGAGAGGAUGAUCAGCCGAACGGGAACUGAGACACGGUCCAUACUCCUACGGGAGGCAGCAGUGGGGAAUUUUGCGCAAUGGGGGAAACCCUGACGCAGCAACGCCGCGUGAGUGAUGAAGGCCUUCGGGUCGUAAAGCUCUGUCAGAGGGAAAGAAAUGUAUUGUGGCUAAUAUCCACGAUGCUUGACGGUACCCUCAAAGGAAGCACCGGCUAACUCCGUGCCAGCCGCCGCGGUAAUAC
rnacentral:rRNA from 1 species